rnacentral:rRNA from 1 species
UACGUAGGGACCAAGCGUUGUUCGGAUUUACUGGGCGUAAAGGGCGCGUAGGCGGCAAUUCAAGUCAUCUGUGAAAUCUCCGGGCUUAACUCGGAACGGUCAGGUGAUACUGUUUUGCUAGAGUGCGGAAGGGGCAAUCGGAAUUCUUGGUGUAGCGGUGAAAUGCGUAGAUAUCGAGAGGAACACCUGCGGCGAAGGCGGGUUGCUGGGCUGACACUGACGCUGACAGCGCGAAAGCUAGGGGAGCGAACGGG